GACGAACGCUGGCGGCGUGCUUAACACAUGCAAGUCGAACGGUGAACGAGGGAGCUUGCUCCCUCCGGAUCAGUGGCGAACGGGUGAGUAACACGUGAGCAAUCUGCCCCGAACUCUGGGAUAAGCGUUGGAAACGACGUCUAAUACCGGAUACGACGCGGGAGGGCAUCCUCUCCGCGUGGAAAGAACUUCGGUUCGGGAUGAGCUCGCGGCCUAUCAGCUUGUUGGUGAGGUAACGGCUCACCAAGGCGACGACGGGUAGCCGGCCUGAGAGGGUGACCGGCCACACUGGGACUGAGACACGGCCCAGACUCCUACGGGAGGCAGCAGUGGGGAAUAUUGCACAAUGGGCGCAAGCCUGAUGCAGCAACGCCGCGUGAGGGACGACGGCCUUCGGGUUGUAAACCUCUUUUAGCAGGGAAGAAGCUAAAGUGACGGUACCUGCAGAAAAAGCACCGGCUAACUACGUG
rnacentral:rRNA from 1 species